AACCUCUCCCUAGUAGAUAUGUUUAAAAACGGUAAGGUUGAUAGUCAUACGUAAUGGGCCAAAGCAGAUAACAUCUGCUAGCGGUGAGUUUGGGCCAUUAUAAAUGGUAUCAGAGUCGGACACCAGGCGGUGUGCGAACGAGAAUGUUGGCCCCCAAUAAAGGUGGAUUGUGAGAUCUCACAUCGGUUGAAGAAGAGAACGAAACAUUCUUUAUAAGAGUGUAAAAACCUUCUCUAGCAUACACAUUUUAAGAAUCUUGAAGAGAAAUUUGAAAGAAAAAGCCGAAAGAGGACAAUAUUUGUUAACGUUAGAUUUGGGUUGUUACAAAUGAUAUAAGAGUCAGACACUAA